UACAGGGGGUGCAAACGUUGCUCGGAAUUAUUGGGCGUAAAGCGCGCGUAGGCGGCUACCUAAGUCGGAUGUGAAAGCCCCUGGCUUAACUGGGGAAGUGCACCCGAAACUGGGUAGCUAGAGUGCAAAAGAGGGUCGCGGAAUUCCCGGUGUAGAGGUGAAAUUCGUAGAUAUUCGCAAGAACACCAGUGGCGAAGGCGGCUCACUGGCCCGGUACUGACGCUGAGGUGCGAAAGCGUGGGGAGCAAACAGG
rnacentral:rRNA from 1 species